rnacentral:rRNA from 1 species
UACAGAGGGGGCAAGCGUUGUUCGGAAUUACUGGGCGUAAAGGGCUCGUAGGCGGCCAACUAAGUCAUACGUGAAAUCCCUCGGCUUAACCGGGGAACUGCGUCUGAUACUGGAUGGCUUGAGUUCGGGAGAGGGAUGCGGAAUUCCAGGUGUAGCGGUGAAAUGCGUAGAUAUCUGGAGGAACACCGGUGGCGAAGGCGGCAUCCUGGACCGAUACUGACGCUGAGGAGCGAAAGCGUGGGGAGCGAACAGG